rnacentral:RNase_P_RNA from 1 species
CCAGCCGGCCGGACGGCCGCCGCCGCGAGGCGGAGGAAAGUCCGGGCUCCAGCGAGACACGGUGCCGGAUAACGUCCGGCGGGGGCGACCCCAGGGAAAGCGCCACAGAAAAUAAACCGCCCCGGCCCCGCGUGCGAACGCGUCAGGCCGGCGGUAAGGGUGAAACGGUGCGGUAAGAGCGCACCGCGCGACUGGUAACAGGAGCGGCACGGCAAGCCCCACCGGGAGCAAAACCGAAUAGGGGCGACACGGCAUGGUUCUCAGCGAGCGAUCGCGUGGAAUGCGUGCAGGGCUCGUCUUCCAGCCGUCGCCCGGGUUGGUUGCUCGAGGCGGCCGGUAACGGCCGUCCCAGAGGAAUGGCCGUCACGCGCGUGGUCAACCACGCGCCGUACAGAACCCGGCUUAAAGGCCGGCUGGCACU